AGAAGAGGUGAGUAAGAGGCGGAGGGAAGAUUGGAAUCAUCUUGAUUAGAUUAUUUAAAAAAAAAAAAGUAGAGAUCAGAUAAAACAUUUUACAGCAAGUGCAAACGUUUAAUGAAACAACUACGACACAGACAUUCAGUGAUUAGGCAUAUGUGUUAAAGCAGCAGCAGUCUUUCUCGCUCUCUCUCUUCGUCUCUCUUUCUCUCCCCCCGUCUUUCUCUUCGUCUCGCUCUCUGUCUCCAUCUUUCUCUCCGUCUCUCUCUCUCUCCUCCCCCCCUACUUCUUUAUAUUGCCUACAAACAUUUCAUAAAAUGUUCAAGCCUUAGCAGUGAGAUGACAGCAGAGGGAAGGGAAUUUCCUUGCUAUUUUUUUUCUCCUGGACACAAAUUAAGCCUAGUCCUGGACAAAACAGCACUCUCCAUGGAAUAUGCUUCUUAAUAUAGGAUAGGAUUAAUCUGUGUCUAGGAAACCGUCCCUCAGGGUUCUUUCAGGGUCUUUUAUCUAAGACUAAGUGGUUUAUAACAAAGAACUUGUAACAUGACUCUGACUGACUUAUAGCAGACCCCAGGUCACUAUUGGCACUACAAAUACAUACAAUUACACACACAUACUGUAUACAACACAAUGCUGCCUUGGAAUGUGAACAUACAUGAAUUAUAUAGCUACAACAUUCUCUUGAUCAAAUAAAAGCACAGUGAUUCGGAUAUUGCAAUACUGUAAAGCUAGAAUGUGUAACAUUCACUGGCAAAUGUGAUGUUCUGGGUUAUUUCAUAAUACUUCUCCUGAAUUAUAAAAUCAACCCUCAAAUAUAUUUAUGAUUAAAACAUUUAAAACUUCUUCAUUUGGGACAGAAUGAACAUAUAAUCAUUAAACAAAUUGUGCACAAGUAUUGGAAUACAUAAGGCAAAAAUGUAACAUAUAAAAACAGGAUAAUAGAAGGAAUUGAUGAGUUAAAACAUUGUUUUUUUAAAGCAUCAUUAAAAUAAUUUCAGGAAUCAGUAAUCAUUUCAUUUGGAUUGUAAACAUCCAUGAUGGUACGUAAAGUCAUCACGUUAAGUUGUUGAUAUCUUUGGAAUGAAACCACUUAAAAACAAAUAAAAAUAUAAAAAAUUACUCUGAGAACAAUUCCUUUUUUGAGUAAAUAACUUAAGUGUUUAGAGUUGUUCUAACCGGUUAACAGUUGAAACUGUUCCGGAUUUCUGCUGCUUUUGUGGUGCUCUGGGGUUGGUUGAUAAAAAUGCAUAAUCAAACAUUAAAAGAAACAUCAAAACAUCAAUGUGAUUGAAGCUAAAUGCCUUUUGUGACUUAAGUUAAUAAAAUGUAAGUGCUUUGGUAACAUACACUGAUGUACAAAACAUGAAGGACACCUGCUCUUUCCUUCACAGACUGACCAGGUGAAUCCAGGUGAGAGCUAUGAUCCCUUAUUGAUGUCACUUGUUAAAUCCACUUCAUUCAGUGUACAUGAAGGGGACAUUAAGCCUCAAGACAAUUGAGACAUGGAUUGUUUGUGUGCCAUUCAGAGGGUGAAGGGGCAAGACAAAUAUUUAAUUUCCUUUGAACGGGGUGUUAAGGAGUGCGACGCUGCUGGGUUUUUCCACACUCAACAGUUUCCUGUGUGUAUCAAGAAUGGUCCACCACCCAAAGGACAUCCAGACAACUUGACACAACUGUGGGAAGCAUUGAAGUCAACAUGGGCCAGCAUCCCUGUGGAACGCUUUCAACACCUUCUAAUCCAUGCCCCUGACAAAUUUAGGCUGUUCUGAGGGCAAAAUGGGGGGUGCAACUCAAUAGUUGGAAUGUAUUCUUAAUGUUUUGUGCAGUCAGUGUAUAUUUCUAUAUUUCAUAGUUGCUUUCAUAUCAAAUAUCUAUUUCAGCCAAACAAUCUUAAAUAAAAUGUUCUCAUGACUCUGGAUUUAGGAAUCUUCUCUUUCCAGAGCCUUCAUAGCACAGUAGUAACACAUUGAUUGGAGGAAUUGAAUUUACAGAUGAAUUGGGGUAUUGUUGGGAUGAUAUGUAAAUGUAAGCAAUUCUUCAGUGGUGGCCCCAUUGCUCAUAAGCUGAAUAAAAAUAUAAAACAAACUGAACUGAAGAAGUGAUAGUAAAAGGAACAUUGCACUGGGGGAAAGCGAGGCCAUCCUCUCAUCUAAUUGGUCUCCUCUACCAAAUCGUACC
rnacentral:lncRNA from 1 species